rnacentral:ncRNA from 1 species
ACUAAUCGAACCAUCUAGUAGCUGGUUCCUUCCGAAGUUUCCCUCAGGAUAGCUGGAACUCUUGCAGUUAUAUUCGGUAAAGCUAAUGAUUAGAGGCCUUGGGGACGUAAUGUCCUCAACCUAUUCUCAAACUUUCAAUGGAUAUGGCGUCGCAGUUUCUUUAGUGAACUGCGGCGUGAAUGCGAGUUCCAAGUGGGCCAUUUUUGGUAAGCAGAACUGGCGCUGUGGGAUGAACCAAACGUGGAGUUAAGGUGCCUAACUUCUCGCUUAUGAGACCCCAUAAAAGGUGUUGGUUGAUAUUGACAGCAGGACGGUGGCCAUGGAAGUCGGUACCCGCUAAGGAGUGUGUAACAACUCACCUGCCGAAUCAACUAGCCCUGAAAAUGGAUGGCGCUUAAGCGAGAGACCUAUACUCCGCCGUCGCGGCAUGUGCGUUGUCUAGCGCCAGGUCGCGACGAGUAGGAAGGACGUGGCGGUUGCGUUGAAGGCUAUGAGCGUAGGCUCGGCUGGAGCUUCCGUCAGUGCAGAUCGUAAUGGUAGUAGCAAAUAUUCAAGUUCGAUCCUUGAAGACUGAAGUGGAGAAGGGUUCCACGUGAACAGUAGUUGGAUGUGGGUCAGUCGAUCCUAAGGUACUGGACGAAAGCCUUGUAUCAUCGGUGGACGAAAAGCUUGUCUUUUUGUCCCCGCCCGUCGAAAGGGAAUAGGGUUAAUAUUCCCUAACUGAGAUGCAAAGAUUGUGUUCUUCGGAGCACAAGCGCGGUAACGCGUUCGAACUUGGUAAGUCGCUCAGAGACCGAGCUAGAGUUUUCUUCUCUAGUUAAGGAACGGACUCCCUGGAAUUGGUUCAGCCAGAGAUGGGGACGUUGUUUCCGAAAAGCACCGCGGUUUCUGUGGUGUCUCGUGCUCUCUGAACGGCCCUUUAAACACCAAGGGAGGCUAUUAAUUUGCACUCAAUCGUACCGAUAUCCGCAUUAGGUCUCCAAGGUGAACAGCCUCUAGUCGAUAGAAUAAUGUAGGUAAGGGAAGUCGGCAAACUAGAUCCGUAACUUCGGGAAAAGGAUUGGCUCCAGUGGUCGGAACGGUUGGCCAGUUGGUUGAUGCUUGUCCGGCGCUGUUCUGUCUGCUUGAUGCUUUCGGGCUGAUGGCGGCCUAGUGAUAGUGCUUGCUUGUUGACGCUUUCUGGUGUGUGCUUUGACCUCGGUCUUAGUAUCCUGAUCGUUCAUCUAAACGACUAAACUGGAACCGGUACGGACUCAGGGAAUCCGACUGUCUAAUUAAAACAGAGGUGACAGAUGGUCCUUGCGGACGCUGACUGUCACUGAUUUCUGCCCAGUGCUCUGAAUGUUAAAUCGUAGUAAUUCGAGUAAGCGCGG